UCCGAGUUGACCCCGGCAGUCUCCUAUGAGUCCCCGGCAUUAUCCGCUGGCAACAUAGAACGAGGGUUGCGCUCGUUGCGGGACUUAACCCAACAUCUCACGACACGAGCUGACGACAGCCAUGCACCACCUGUAUAGGGCCCCGAAGGACACCGUAUCUCUACGGCUUUUCCCCACAUGUCAAGCCCAGGUAAGGUUCUUCGCGUUGCCUCGAAUUAAGCAACAUGCUCCGCCGCUUGUGCGGGCCCCCGUCAAUUCCUUUGAGUUUCAGCCUUGCGGCCGUACUCCCCAGGCGGGGUGCUUAAUGCGUUAGCUUCGGCACAGAAGGGGUUGAUAUCCCCCCACACCUAGCACCCAUCGUUUACGGCUAGGACUAC
rnacentral:misc_RNA from 1 species